CCUACGGGGGGCUGCAGUGGGGAAUAUUGCACAAUGGGGGAAACCCUGAUGCAGCCAUGCCGCGUGUGUGAAGAAGGCUUUCGGGUUGUAAAGCACUUUCAGCGAGGAGGAACAGUUGGCGCCUAAUCCGUGUCUACUGUGACGUUCCUCGCCCACGAAGCACCGGCUAACUCCGUGCCAGCAGCCGCGGUACUACGGCGGGUGCAAGCGUUAAUCGGAAUUACUGGGCGUAAAGCGCACGCAGGCGGUUGGAUAAGUUAGAUGUGAAAUCCCCGGGCUCAACCUGGGAAUUGCAUUUAAAACUGUCCAGCUAGAGUCUUGUAGAGGGGGGUAGAAUUCCAGGUGUAGCGGUGAAAUGCGUAGAGAUCUGGAGGAAUACCGGUGGCGAAGGCGGCCCCCUGGACAAAGACUGACGCUCAGGUGCGAAAGCGUGGGGAGCAAACAGGAUUAGAUACCCGAGUAGUC
rnacentral:rRNA from 1 species